GUGUCUGCUUCACUAGCACGUACACUAAACUUGGGGUCCUACAGAGAAGAUGAGCAUGGUUCCUGAUCAGGGAUGACAUGCAGAUUCAUGUAUUAGCCUACACUAAA
ensembl:snRNA U6 U6 spliceosomal RNA